CUAUUGGAUUGGUCCAUGAAGCGAAAAAUAGUUACUGUGUCACUCGUACCGAUAACCGCAUCAGGUCUUCUAGGUAAGUAGCUAUGGCCAUGAGGCAUGAUAGUUCAGGGAAUUCGGCCAAUUAGAGCUGUAACUUCGGGAUAAAGCUUGGCUCUGAUGAAAAUCAGAACCGAUUGUUACGCGGAGAGCCCAACUGUUUAAUAAAAACGUAGUGUCGCGCUGUGGUAGUAUAGCCAGUGAACGCGACAUGAAUCCUGCUCAGUGCUGUGUCUGUUAAUAUGGUUCAAGCCAACGAAGCACCGGUAAAUAGCUGGGGUAACUAUGACUCUUAUCAAAGUAGCGAAAUACCUCGUCACUUAAUUAGUGACCUGCAUGAACGGAGCUAUGAGGUUCUCACUGUCCCAAACUGUCUCUCAGCGAACCAACUGUAGUGGGAACGGUCACUAGAUAUCCAGCGGGGAAAGAAGACCCUGUAGAGCUUCACUUUGGUCUAGUCUUGUAUAGUUCCUGCGGGGGUGUAGACUAGGUGGGAGAGCAAUCGAUUCUGAAAAACCACUACCCUGUUUGGAAUUAUGCUUACCUAUCACAAGGAAUAGGACUAGAUAGAAAGUUUGGCUGGGGCGGCACACCUUCGAAAGAGCAGCGAAGGUGUCCUAAGUUGAGCUCAGUGAGGACAGAAAUCUCACGUUGAGGAUAAGGCCAAAAGCUCAAUUUACUGUGCCUUUUUGUACUAGGAUCAGUUACGAAAGUAAGGCCUAACGAUCCCUAAAUAGCCUCAGGUGCGUGAGGAUUGGGGUGACAGACAAGUUACCUCCGGGACAACUGGCUUGUGGCUGCUAAGAGAUCAAAUCAACGCAGCUUUUUGAUUCUUCGAUGUCGGCUCUUCCUAUCCUAGUGAUGUACAAGUUGCUAAGGGUCGGAUUGUUCACCCGUAUUAGGGAUCGUGAGCUGGGUUUAGACCGUCGUGAGCCAGGUUUGUUUUAUCCUACUGGAUAUAGCAUCAUGAUAGUAGAUUGAUUUAGUACGAGAGGAACU
rnacentral:ncRNA from 2 species